UACGUAGGGUGCGAGCGUUGUCCGGAAUUAUUGGGCGUAAAGAGCUUGUAGGCGGUCUGUCGCGUCUGCUGUGAAAAAUCCGGGGCUCAACCCCGGACUUGCAGUGGGUACGGGCAGGCUAGAGUGUGGUAGGGGAGACUGGAAUUCCUGGUGUAGCGGUGAAAUGCGCAGAUAGUCAGGAGGAACACCGAGUGGCGAAGGCAGGUCUCUGGGCCACUACUGACGCUGAGAAGCGGAAAGCAUGGGGAGCGAACAGG
rnacentral:rRNA from 1 species